rnacentral:rRNA from 1 species
UACGGAGACUGCGAGCGUUACUCGGAUUCACUGGGCGUAAAGGGUGCGCAGGCGGCUAAUUGUGUCAGGUGUGAAAUCCCGGGGCUUAACUCCGGAACUGCGCCUGAAACUGAUUGGCUAGAGGCUCGGAGAGGUAAGCGGAAUUCCAGGUGUAGCAGUGAAAUGCGUAGAUAUCUGGAGGAACACCAAAGGCGAAGGCAGCUUACUGGAAGAGUUCUGACGCUCAGGCACGAAAGCGUGGGUAGCGAAAGGG